rnacentral:lncRNA from 10 species
AGGAAAGGUCCAAUUCAAGAAACAAUAUGGAAAGCAGCAGUCCCAUUUACAAAUGGUACUAUCUGGGUAGGGGUACUCUCUAAUACUAGUACUGCUACUCGACACAGUUUUGAUGUUACAUUUGUAAAGAGUAUCACCACUAAAUUUACGGUUUGUGUUUUUAAUCCUUAUGUCUUUAUGGCAGCUAAGAAGGACCAGCUCCAGGUAAACAAUACCCAAUUGACCUGUAAAUCUUGUCAGUUAUAUCACUGCAUUAAUCAUAGCACAUUGCAAACACAUCUCUACCUUGAUAAUUAUGGGUCGCAUCCCUGGGAUAUGGAUUCCUGUUAAUCUGUCAGAGCCUUGGGCCUCCACCCCUGCUUUGCACUUCAUGAAACUUCUAACUCAGCUUACUCAUUGUACCCGUAAAGUCUUAGGCAUGAUAAUUUUUGCUAUUAUUUCCUUGGUCACACUAAUAACUUCUGUAGUAAUGUCCUCUGUAGCUUUGCAUAGUUCUGUUCAAACAGCUCAGUACGUGGAGAACUAGACAUGUACCACCAAGAAAAUAUGGCUACUUCAGAGUAAAAUUAACACUGAGUUACAAACUGAAGUGGCAAUGUUGAAAUCCAUGGUUCCAUGGUUAGGGCAACAAGUACAAAGCUUACAAUUGCAACAGCAAUUGUGCUGUCAUUUUAAUCACACUCAUAUUUGUGUAACCAACUUAGAAUAUAACCAAAGUGAGUAUCCAUGGGACCUUGUGAAAGCCCAUUUGCAGGGAGCUUUCACAUCCAAUAUCGCCUUUGAUAUUGGUGAAUUAUGAAACAAAAUUAUUGGUUUAAAUAAGCAAACUCAAGAGUUUCAGCCUUCUUUAGAAGCCUGGACCAAAUUCCAGUGAGGUCUGGAGAGCCUCAAUCCUUGGACCUAUCUAAAGCGCCACAUUAACAUCUCAUGUAUAGUUCUGGGAAUAAUGCUGUUCUGUCUUUGUUUUCUGUUCAUAGUCUAUAAAAUUGGAUGGACUGCCAAUCAGAAAAUGAGAGCUGCCCAACCUGGCCUUACAUUCAUUCAAUUAAUGCAAAAACAGAAAGGGGGAGAUAUUGGGAGCUGAAAACCUGAGGGUCAUGACCAACUCAGCAUUCCAUUGGAGGCUAUAUGAUCAAACAGCAAACUGUUUAUCAUGAAUGCAGGAUGUGGGCAAACUCACAUCUGUGCCUGCCACCAGAAGAAGAUGUGAGCAUGCAGAAGAAAGAAUCCACAAAUUUGAAGAUAGAACCUUUGAAAAAUAUCAACUCUGAGGGGACUAAAGGAAAAAGAAUGAAGACCAAACAGAACUUAAAGGACCUGUAGUACACCAUGCAUCAGACCAACAUACACAUUAUGGAAGCUGAAGAAAGAUAACAGAGAAAUAAAGGGGAAGAAGUAAAAUGUGAAGAAAUAUUAAGCAAAACUUUCCAAAUUUGAUGAAAGACAUGAAUCUUUAAAUCCAAGAAGCUCAACAAACUCCAAGUAAGAGAAACUCAGUCGGGCGUGGUGGCAGGUGCCUGUAUUCUCAGCUACUCGGGAGGUUGAGGCACAAGAAUCCCUUGAACUUGGGAGGCAGAGGUUGCAGUAAGCUGGGAUUGCACCAUUGCACUCCAGCCUGGGCAACAAGAGCAAAACUUCAUCUCAAAAAAAAAAAACAUUAAAAAAAGAGAAACUCAGGCCUACAGUGAAUCACAUAUCAUCAAAAUGUCAAAUGGCAAAGACAAAGAGUGCUGAAAGAAGUGAUUCUCAAUACUAUUAAUAACAAAUAUGUCAUCAGAAAUCAUGGGGGACAUAGUCGGUGAGAUGACAUAUUUAAGAGCUGAAAAAGAAACACUAUCAACCAAGAAUUCUGUGCUCACCAGAAAUGUUCAAAAAUGAGGGAGAAUUUAAGACAUUCCUAGAAAAACUAAUGCCAAGGACAGUUACCACUACACUUGCCAUACAAGAAAUGCUGCUGGACGUGGUAGCUCAUGCCUUUAAUCCCAGCACUUUGGGA